AACGAACGCUGGCGGCAUGCCUAACACAUGCAAGUCGAACGAGACCUUCGGGUCUAGUGGCGCACGGGUGCGUAACGCGUGGGAACCUGCCCUUAGGUUCGGAAUAACUCCCCGAAAGGGGUGCUAAUACCGGAUAAUGUCUUCGGACCAAAGAUUUAUCGCCUUUGGAUGGGCCCGCGUUGGAUUAGCUAGUUGGUAGGGUAAAAGCCUACCAAGGCGACGAUCCAUAGCUGGUCUGAGAGGAUGAUCAGCCACACUGGGACUGAGACACGGCCCAGACUCCUACGGGAGGCAGCAGUGGGGAAUAUUGGACAAUCGGCGAAAGCCUGAUCCAGCAAUGACGCGUGAGUGAUGAAGUCCUUAGGGUUGUAAAGCUCUUUUACCCGGGAUGAUAAUGACAGUACCGGGAGAAUAAGCUCCGGCUAACUCCGUG
rnacentral:rRNA from 1 species